rnacentral:misc_RNA from 1 species
GAUGAAGAACGUAGCGAAAUGCGAUACGUAAUGUGAAUUGCAGAAUUCAGUGAAUCAUCGAGUCUUUGAACGCACAUUGCGCCCCCUGGUAUUCCGGGGGGCAUGCCUGUCCGAGCGUCAUUGCUGCCCUCAAGCACGGCUUGUGUGUUGGGCCUCCGUCCUCCUCCCGGGGGACGGGCCCGAAAGGCAGCGGCGGCACCGCGUCCGGUCCUCGAGCGUAUGGGGCUUCGUCACCCGCUCUUGUAGGCCCGGCCGGCGCUUGCCGACACAUCAAUCUUUUUUCCAGGAUGACCUCGGAUCAGGUAGGGAUACCCGCUGAACUUAGGCAUAUCAAUAAGCGGAGGA